GCGCCUGUAGCUCAUCUGGAUAGAGUGCAAGAUUCCGGAUCUUGAGGUGGUGGGUUCGAGUCCCGCUAGGCGCA
rnacentral:tRNA from 1 species